ACCACUGAAAGAUCAGUUUAAAACCUAUUACUCGCUUUGCACAGCAAAAGCAAGAAGAGAGAAAGAAGAAGAAGAGAAGAAGGAGAAGAAGGAAGGAGAAGGAAGAAAGAGAGGAAAGAGAAAUAAGAGGAGCGAUCUUACCUAAGAAAUACAUUGAAUUGAUUGUACUCAUAGAUGGUCGAACCGAUGCUGAGGCAAGAUUGGACUUUGGCAGCAGUUGUGAAGCUUGUGUUUGCGACACCAGGAGGCUGAUGGACAUCACUUCAAUUAUUUUAGUAAUUACUUUUGAUGUAAAUAUUGAUGAAAUAUAUAAGAUGUAAAUAUUGAUGAAAUAUAUAAGAUGUAAAUAUUGAUGAAAUAUAUAAGAUGUAAAUAUUACACCUGUGGAUUGUCAACAGCUGAAUCUUGUAUAUUUGUAAUUUAUCACUCUAGUACAUCGACAAUGUUAUUUA